GCCUAAGAGCUGUAGCAAGGUUUGUCCAAGACCCAAGAGCUGUGACGUGUAGAGGGCUUUAAUGUCCGUUGCUCCAAAUCUUUGUUGUGACGAGACAAAGAACCGAGGAACACACACUCGCGUGACAAGGCUGAGGAAGACUACCAAAGGAAGAAAUGCACUUGGAAGACCUCUUGCUAGCCAACCACCACCAUGAAGCUGAGAUUCAGACCUUGCUGAAGGGGGAAAUACUAUGGCCUACUGGAAGGUACAUCGACAUAAGGUGCCCACAGAUGGUCCACUCAGUUGAUCCAUGGUUGGAACUACAGGACAUAUAUUAUAUGUGAAAACAAAGGGGAAAGUGACAUCAAUAUUCUACUAGCAAAAGACAGCACUCUUUAAAAAACAGUUCUAUAUAAAAUUAAUCAAAGAGGAGCAGAGAGACUAGUAAGCAAGAUAAGCGAAACUUUUAUGCAAGAUGUAUAUCAUUUAUUUUCUAUCACUCCCAACUGUCUAAUAAAAUCC